UUAAUUUUAUAUCACCUUUUUUAAUAAAUUUAAUUUUUCUACCUCUCCCAUUUUAUAUGCCAUUCCUGGUCCAGCACAGAGCUGGUUAUGUGGUGGGGUUUUGUUUAAGAUCAACACCACUUAUAGUGAUAUUACGGAUAACUGAAAACUGAUUAGAAAAAAAAAUAAAAUUCUUUGAUAAUUAGCUUUCUAAUUUACUGAACACAUUUUUAGAAAUUCAAAUACCAAAUACAUGCUCUGUAGUUUGCAUAUACAAAUCAUAUGCACAAUUGUAACAUGAAAAAGGGUCAUCCUUGCCAAGACAAAAGUCAAAAUGUGUUGUAUUUCUCAAAAUUUAUUCCCCAGUUUUAGAGGGAACAGCCACCAUCGCUUAACGCAAACUAUAAUUGGGGGGGGUGGGGAGUGGGGGGAAAAAAGAAAAUUCUUUUCUCUACUCCUGUAAAGUGACAGUGUCAGGCUGGUUCUUAACUCCAGCCGAAACUUCUGGAAGUCUUCCACCCUGCAGCUAUCCACUUAAUAGUGGGUGUCUCCCAGCAAAAAUGCACUACAUACAAAGCUUGUUUAAUUACGACAUUCCCUCGAUAUGCCCGCUCCUUACUUUGUAUCAGUUUUACAGUGCUAAACUCUAGAUUGACAUAUCUUGUAUUGAUAUUAAAAUACAGAAGCACAGUGAAUAAAAUACAUACUAAUCAUAGCAAUAAUACGCACUAUACAAAGAUUAAAUUAUCUUUCAUUUAUUUGUACAAUAUUUUUUCCUUGUGUAUGAAUUUGUGGUCUUAAUAUCUGCCCUGCUUUGGAAGGAAGUUCUUAUCUAUACAGCUGCAUCUACAUCUGCUGGGAACCUCUAACUCAGCUCUCGGCUUGGUGACUACACUAUGUCUGAAGCACAAACUAGCGACUGAGAAAAUAACCCCACAAAGCUUCUCCUUUCAAAACAGACCAGGCACUUGGACCACAAAUUUAAACAGUUUUGAACAACUACGUUUGAUAUUUCUAACUUGAAGUGUGAUUCACCCUCUGCCUUGUACUGUACCUCAAGCCUGUGUUUGUGCAUGAAAUCUUCAUCCUGGCUAGGGAAGUGUGAGAAAUUCAUACAUGGAAGUCUGAUCUUAAAACCUGCUAACAGGAGCAACAAAAACUCUAAACUAGUUACUAUUCUUAACUUUCUGGAACAGAUUCAAAUACUAGCUGAUGGGAUCACCAUGUAAAUACUUGAAUAGACAAUCUCAGCUAUACCUCUUUCUGAACCGAAUACUACAUUUGUGCAGAAAUUUAGGCUAAACUGAAAAUGCAAAAGAACAGACACAAAAUCGCGUUGGCUCCCAUAGCCAACAUCCACUGAAAAUGAAUGUUGGUCUGCUUCAUCUUGAGACUGACAAAAAUAAGACAGAAGUAUCCCUGAGCUAGUCCUAUUUCAGGCAAAAUCGUUUGUAUCAUGCCACUUGGAAAUGAAGGGAUUAUCUCCUUAUAUAUUAGUGGCCCCAGAAACAGUGCAAGAUUUACUGUUGCCAAGGGAUUUUAUUUUUCUUUCAUCAGAUAUUCAACACUGAAUAAAGAAUACCAAUGUGUAAGGGUUAAGUAUAAAAGUCAGUAAGGAUGAAAAACCAAUCCUUUAGAUCUAACUUUAACAGUGAAGGAAAAAAAAAACAAA
ensembl:lncRNA